rnacentral:rRNA from 1 species
GAACGCGAAGAACCUUACCAAAUCUUGACAUACUCUUGAAUAGUUUUGUAAUGAAGCUAGCCCUUCGGGGCAAGGGAUACAGGUGGUGCAUGGUUGUCGUCAGCUCGUGUCGUGAGAUGCUGGGUUAAGUCCCGCAACGAGCGCAACCCUUGUCGUCAGUAGCCAGCAGUAAGAUGGGCACUCUGACGAGACAGCCGGAGAUAAUCCGGAGGAAGGUGGGGAUGACGUCAAAUCAUCAUGCCCCUUAUGAUUUGGGCUACACACGUGCUACAAUGGCGUAAACAAAGUGAGGCAAAGCUGCGAAGCCAAGCAAAUCACAAAAAUAACGUCUCAGUUCGGAUUGUAGUCUGCAACUCGACUAUAUGAAGCUGGAAUCGCUAGUAAUCGCAGAUCAGAAUGCUGCGGUGAAUACGUUCCCGGGUCUUGUACACACC